rnacentral:rRNA from 1 species
UACGUAGGGCGCGAGCGUUGUCCGGAUUUAUUGGGCGUAAAGAGCUCGUAGGCGGCUCGUUGCGUCGGCUGUGAAAACCCGCAGCUCAACUGUGGGCUUGCAGCUGAUACGGGCGGGCUGGAGUUCGGUAGGGGAGACUGGAAUUCCUGGUGUAGCGGUGAAAUGCGCAGAUAUCAGGAGGAACACCGGUGGCGAAGGCGGGUCUCUGGGCCGAUACUGACGCUGAGGAGCGAAAGCGUGGGGAGCGAACAGG